CGUUUCUGAAAGGAAAAUUGAAUGACCAAAAGAUACACGGACCGAUGAGAGGCAAGGGACAGACGGAAAGAGAAGUCAUGCUACAGUUUGGAGGAUCAUCUCCCGCAACCAGCAGGAUCAACAACCACACCUCCUCACUGUUAGGCGUCAGAAGAACUGGAUUGACAGCUUCUUCAUCACCAUGGAUAAGCAUCUCAUCUCAUGCCAGGCAAACCACUUGUCACAGUUGAUGCUGUGACACUUGGGGGUGUGUUCCUUGUUUUCUGUUUCUCCUGUGGUUCUGUCUGUGGGUGUGUGUUAUGCCUGGCAGUGAGCUGAUCACCUGGUGGAGUUGCACACCUGCUGGCAAUCCUCAUCAGUGCCUGGCCUUAAGAAGUGGGGUUACCUGAGACUCGUCGCCAGAUUAUUCCUUACCCAUGAUUCCUGCACCUGGAGUGUUUUGUGUUGCCUUGAGGAUCUUUUGGAGCGCUGGUUGCCACUCUUCAGGACCUGCCUGCCCCUGCUCUCAUCUUGCCCUUUUCAAGCACAGUUCCACUUCUACUCAGUUCUUUGUGAAUAAAACCCUUGACCUCAA